rnacentral:rRNA from 2 species
CAGUAACGGCGAGUGAAGCGGCAACAGCUCAAAUUUGAAAUCUGGCUCCUUCGGGGUCCGAAUUGUAAUUUGUAGAGAGUGCUUCGGGCGAGACCUCGGUCUAAGUCCAUUGGAACAUGGUGUCAUAGAGGGUGAGAAUCCCGUAUGCGACCGUGGCUCGAGCCCAUGUGAAGCCUCUUCGACGAGUCGAGUUGUUUGGGAAUGCAGCUCAAAACGGGUGGUAAAUUUCAUCUAAAGCUAAAUACUGGCUGGAGACCGAUAGCGCACAAGUAGAGUGAUCGAAAGAUGAAAAGCACUUUGGAAAGAGAGUCAAACAGUACGUGAAAUUGUUGAAAGGGAAGCGCUUGCAACCAGACCUGCCCGUAGGCGAUCAGCCGCUGUUCUCAGCGGUGCACUCGCUCUGCGAUCAGGCCAGCAUCGGUUUCGGCGGUCGGAUAAAGGCCUUGGGAAUGUAGCUUCCCUUCGGGGAAGUCUUAUAGCCCUCGGUGCAAUGCGGCCAGCCGGGACCGAGGACCGCGCUUCGGCUAGGAUGCUGGCGUAAUGGUUGUAAGCGACCCGUCUUGAAACACGGACCAAGGAGUCUAACAUCUAUGCGAGUGUUUGGGUGUUAAACCCAUACGCGGAAUGAAAGUGAACGGAGGUGAGAACCCUUAAGGGCGCAUCAUCGACCGAUCCAGAUGUCUUCGGAUGGAUUUGAGUAUGAGCAUAGCUGUUGGGACCCGAAAGAUGGUGAACUAUGCCUGAAUAGGGUGAAGCCAGAGGAAACUCUGGUGGAGGCUCGCAGCGGUUCUGACGUGCAAAUCGAUCGUCAAAUUUGGGUAUAGGGGCGAAAGACUAAUC